UUUGAUCCUGGCUCAGGAUGAACGCUGGCGGUAUGCUUAACACAUGCAAGUCGAACGGGAUGCUUAGGCAUCUAGUGGCGGACGGGUGAGUAACGCGUGAGAAUCUGGCUCCAGGUCGGGGAUAACAGUUGGAAACGACUGCUAAUACCGGAUGUGCCGAAAGGUGAAAGAUUUAUUGCCUGGAGAUGAGCUCGCGUCUGAUUAGCUAGUUGGUGGUGUAAGGGACCACCAAGGCAUCGAUCAGUAGCUGGUCUGAGAGGAUGAUCAGCCACACUGGGACUGAGACACGGCCCAGACUCCUACGGGAGGCAGCAGUGGGGAAUUUUCCGCAAUGGGCGAAAGCCUGACGGAGCAAUACCGCGUGAGGGAGGAAGGCUCUUGGGUCGUAAACCUCUUUUCUCAAGGAAGAAGAAAGUGACGGUACUUGAGGAAUAAGCAUCGGCUAACUCCGUGCCAGCAGCCGCGGUAAUACGGAGGAUGCAAGCGUUAUCCGGAAUGAUUGGGCGUAAAGGGUCUGCAGGUGGAACUGAAAGUCUGCUGUUAAAGAGUUUGGCUUAACCAAAUAAAAGCGGUGGAAACUACAGAACUAGAGUGUGGUAGGGGCAAAAGGAAUUCCUGGUGUAGCGGUGAAAUGCGUAGAUAUCAGGAAGAACACCGGUGGCGAAAGCGUUUUGCUAGACCAUAACUGACACUGAGGGACGAAAGCUAGGGGAGCGAAUGGGAUUAGAUACCCCAGUAGUCCUAGCCGUAAACGAUGGAUACUAGGCGUGGCUUGUAUCGACCCGAGCCGUGCCGGAGCUAACGCGUUAAGUAUCCCGCCUGGGGAGUACGCACGCAAGUGUGAAACUCAAAGGAAUUGACGGGGGCCCGCACAAGCGGUGGAGUAUGUGGUUUAAUUCGAUGCAACGCGAAGAACCUUACCAAGACUUGACAUCCUGCGAAUCCUGGUGAAAGCUGGGAGUGCCUUCGGGAGCGCAGAGACAGGUGGUGCAUGGCUGUCGUCAGCUCGUGUCGUGAGAUGUUGGGUUAAGUCCCGCAACGAGCGCAACCCUCGUUUUUAGUUGCCAGCAUUAAGUUGGGCACUCUAGAGAGACUGCCGGUGACAAACCGGAGGAAGGUGAGGAUGACGUCAAGUCAGCAUGCCCCUUACGUCUUGGGCUACACACGUACUACAAUGCUACGGACAGAGGGCAGCAAGCCAGGGAUGGCAAGCGAAUCCAGAAACCGUAGCUCAGUUCAGAUCGAAGGCUGCAACUCGCCUUCGUGAAGGAGGAAUCGCUAGUAAUUGCAGGUCAGCAUACUGCAGUGAAUUCGUUCCCGGGCCUUGUACACACCGCCCGUCACACCAUGGAAGUUGGUCACGCCCGAAGUUAUUACCCCAACCGAAAGGAGGGGGAUGCCUAAGGUAGGACU
rnacentral:rRNA from 1 species